UACGUAGGUGGCAAGCGUUGUCCGGAUUUAUUGGGUUUAAAGGGUGCGUAGGCGGUCUUAUAAGUCAGUGGUGAAAUACGGCAGCUCAACUGUCGAGGUGCCAUUGAUACUGAAGAUCUUGAGUUCGGGAGAGGUGAGUGGAACUGCGAGUGUAGAGGUGAAAUUCGUAGAUAUUCGCAAGAACACCAGUGGCGAAGGCGGCUCACUGGCCCGAUACUGACGCUGAGGCACGAAAGCUAGGGGAGCAAACGGG
rnacentral:rRNA from 1 species